rnacentral:ncRNA from 2 species
AUGACCAGUAUUAGAGAGAAUGGCAGGUUAUAUUAUAUAUAACAUUAGACCAUCGCCGAAGGUGCAAGUUUAACGAAACUCUCAGGCAAAAGGAUAAUACUGUGACG